GACGGGUGAGUAACGCGUGGGAAUAUGCCCUUUGGUACGGAACAGUCCCGGGAAACUGGGUUUAAUACCGUAUGUGGUCCUUCGUAGUGGAUACGGGGGACGAAAGAUUUAUCGCCAAAGGAUUAGCCCGCGUUGGAUUAGGUAGUUGGUGGGGUAACGGCCUACCAAGCCGACGAUCCAUAGCUGGUUUGAGAGGAUGAUCAGCCACACUGGGACUGAGACACGGCCCAGACUCCUACGGGAGGCAGCAGUGGGGAAUCUUAGACAAUGGGGGCAACCCUGAUCUAGCCAUGCCGCGUGAGUGAUGAAGGCCUUAGGGUUGUAAAGCUCUUUCAGCUGGGAAGAUAAUGACGGUACCAGCAGAAGAAGCCCCGGCUAACUCCGUGCCAGCAGCCGCGGUAAUACGGAGGGGGCUAGCGUUGUUCGGAAUUACUGGGCGUAAAGCGCAUGUAGGCGGACCAGAAAGUUGGGGGUGAAAUCCCGGGGCUCAACCCCGGAACGGCCUUCAAAACUAUUGGUCUGGAGUUCGAGAGAGGUGAGUGGAAUUCCGAGUGUAGAGGUGAAAUUCGUAGAUAUUCGGAGGAACACCAGUGGCGAAGG
rnacentral:rRNA from 1 species